rnacentral:lncRNA from 1 species
CGAACCAGAGGACUUGUUAAAACAGAUUGUUGGACCCACACUGUGUUUCUGGAUUGGGAGUCAGGAGUAGGCCUGAGAAUGUGCAUUUCUAAUGAGUGCCCAGUGCUCCAGCCACUCUGGACACCCUGCCAGUCCUUGACUGCAUCCAGCAUGCCCCUGCUCAGAACCUCUGCACAUCUUUCCUCUGCCUGGGCUGAUCUCCCCCUGGAUGGCUGCAUGGCUGCUCGUGCUACUGUGUUCCAGGCAAGUUGGUCUCUGCUCUAAUGCCACUGCCCCAGAGGAUCCUCCCUCAGCCGCCCUUUAAAAAAUGGCCUACCUUAUCAUUUAUCUUUUCUUGCUUUUUCUUCAUUGUACUUAAUUCCCUCAAAAAUAAUAUAUAUUUUUACUAUCAGCUUUCACCUAGUUGGAACCUAUGAUCUUUAAAGGUGGGGGUCUUGUUCAGUGCUGUAUCCCCAGUGCUUAGAACAUGCCUGAACACAGGAGUUGCUAUCUGUUGCAUGCAUAAAUGAACUCAGAACAAGAAUGCCUGAUUUUCCAAUGUCCAUACCAGGUUUUACACAUCUUUAUAAUCUUUGCCAAUCCAGUAUGUGGGAAACAGUAUUCAUUUCAAUUUGUAUUUCUUGAGUAUAAGUGAGGUCGAGUAUCCUAUGAUGUUUUUUGGCUUGGCCUUCAGAAAACUAAUUUUUCUUUUCUUUUUUUUUUUUUUGAGACAGAGUCUUGCACUGUCACCCAGGCUGCAGUGCAGUGGCGCAAUCUCGGCUCACUGCAAGCUCCGCCUCCUAGGUUAACGCCAUUCUCCUGCCUCAGCCUCCUGAGUAGCUGGGACUACAGGCGCCCGCCACC